CGCAGACUCUCGGCAGCCACAGCAGGAAGCAAGCAAAGCAAAGAUAGAGAGAGAAAGAGAUGGGGAAGAAAGCGAAAAGCUCAAGGAAGGGCAAGAAAGCAUGGAGAGCAAACAUAAGCACCGAAGACAUAGACGAUUUCAUUGAGAAAUCCACCAAAGAUGCUCUCUCCGGAGGCUCUCUUUCCCAUGUUCCCACUGAGUCCCUCUUUUUCGUCGAUAAAUCCAAAGAUCUUUCUGUGAAGCGCAAGAUUGAGAAGCACAGAGAAAAGGUACUCCGCUGUGACAGUAUACUUCAGAAAAAUCCUUUUGUUCAAGCGGUGCCAUCUUCGAAUCAGAAAAAGAAGAAGAUAUCCAAGAAAUCCCUGAAAGAGUCUGAGCCAAAAGAUGCCACUCAAGAUGGUUCCAAGAAUGAUUGUCCUGUCCAGGAUUCUGGCAUGGUCGACUUGUGGGAAAAUGAAGGUGAAUGUGACAACAAACUUAGAAAGGCAUCCAAACCUUCAGUUAUUCCGGCAGUGGAAGUUGAGCCUCCAGGAUGCUCAUUUAAUCCUUCAUUUGAAGCUCAUCAGGAUUCUUUGGCCCAAGCUGUUGCAGAGGAAAUGCAGAAAGUCUAUCAGAGUGAGUUGGGCCCUCAACCUGUUCCAUUAACUGUUCCUGGGGAACAGCAAGUGAUUGAUGAAGAAGAUUUGUAUUUUCUGGAGGCGGAUAAUGGGGAUGAUGGUGAAGAGAAUUUGACAGAGAAUGAGGAUGCUGCGCAAGGAAAAAGGUCUACUAACACAAAGAGGGUGACCAAAGUUGAGUUGAAUAGGAGAGCCAGACUCAAAGAACAGCAGAAAAAAGAAGCAGAAGCCAAGAAGAAAGAGGAGCUUUCAAAAGAAAUUGAUUCCUUGCCAGAUAUCAUAAAGGAAAUAGCUAAAGAAGAUGAGGAGAAGCAUAAAAGACACAUCAGGCGUAUAGUAGCUAAGCAAGAGAGACUUAAAACGUGUCCACCACGCUUGGGAAAGCACAAAUUUAAGCCUGCUCCUCCACAAGUACUAUUGUCUGAAGAAAUUACUGGUUCUCUCCGCAAGCUGAAGGGUUGCUGCACCCUUCUAAGGGAUCGAUAUAAAAGCCUAGAAAAAAGGGGAUUGGUUGCACCAACAGCCAAACGCCUAAGGAGAUAGAUAGUGGAUUCAAUUAUUGAGAUUGUUGAUUGUGUAGCAGUUGGCGGGUUAAAGCGAAUGGAAUGCUGUUUAGCAUGAGAAGAAACAGAUAGUUGAGAUAUGAAGAUUCCAUUGCAGACACAGACAAAGCCUUUUAUCUGUGUUGUUAUGUUUGUCACUCUCUAUAAAAUCCCAGUCAUAUUAUUAGUCACCAAUAGACUAUUAGUGUUUUGCAAAUGUGCUGGUUAGUUUAAACUAAAAAUAACUUCAAACUAAC
rnacentral:misc_RNA from 1 species